rnacentral:rRNA from 1 species
CCUACGGGUGGCAGCAGUGAGGAAUAUUGGUCAAUGGACGCGAGUCUGAACCAGCCACGUAGCGUGAAGGAUGACUGCCCUAUGGGUUGUCAACUUCUUUUAUAAAGGAAUAAAACGAGGCAAGUGUGCCUUUUUGCAUGUACUUUAUGAAUAAGGAUCGGCGAACUCCGUUCCAGCAGCCUCGGUAAUACGGAGGAGCCGAGCGUUAUCCGGAUUUAUUGGGUUUAAAGGGAGCGUAGAUGGGUUGUUAAGUCAGUUGUGAAAGUUUGCGGUUCAACCGUAAAAUUGCAAUUGAUACUGGCAGUCUUGAGUACAGUUGAGGUAGGCGGAAUUCGUGGUGUAGCGGUGAAAUGCUUAGAUAGCACGAAGAACACCGAUUGCGAAGGAAGCUUACUAAACUGUGACUGACAUUGAUGCUCGAAAGUGUGGGUAUCAAACAGGAUUAGAUACCCCAGUAGUC